rnacentral:rRNA from 1 species
UAAGGGAUAUUGCGACAAUGGGCGAAAGCCUGACGCAGCAACGCCGCGUGCGGGAGGAAGGCCUUCGGGUUGUAAACCGCUUUUGAGGGGGAAGAGGAAGGACGGUACCCUUCGAAUAAGUCUCGGCUAACUACGUGCCAGCAGCCGCGGUAAAACGUAGGAGGCGAGCGUUAUCCGGAUUUACUGGGUGUAAAGCGCGUGCAGGCGGUGGGACAAGUUAACUGUGAAAGCGCCCGGCUCAACCGGGCGAGGACAGUUAAGACUGUUCGACUGGAGGCAGGUAGAGGUGUGUGGAAUUCCGGGGGUAGUGGUGAAAUGCGUAGAGAUCCGGAGGAACACCAGUGGCGAAGGCGACACACUGGGCCUGGCCUGACGCUCAGACGCGAAAGCAUGGGGAGCGAACGG